rnacentral:rRNA from 1 species
CACGUAGUUAGCCGUGACUUUCUGGUUGAUUACCGUUAAAUAAAGGCCAGUUACUACCUCUAUCCUUCUUCACCAACAACAGAGCUUUACGAUCCGAAAACCUUCUUCACUCACGCGACGUUGCUCCAUCAGACUUGCGUCCAUUGUGGAAGAUUCCCUACUGCUGCCUCCCGUAGGAGUUUGGGCCGUGUCUCAGUCCCAAUGUGGCCGGUCAGUCUCUCAACUCGGCUAUGCAUCGUCGCCUUGGUAAGUCGUUACCUUACCAACUAGCUAAUGCACCGCGGGGCCAUCCCUUAGCGACAGCUUACGCCGCCUUUCAAAAGCUGAUCAUGCGAUCUGCUUUAUUAUCCGGUAUUAGCACCUGUUUCCAAAUGGUAUCCCAGACUUAGGGGCAGGUUCCCCACGUGUUACUCACCCAUCCGCCGCUCGCUUUCCCAACGUCAUUACCGAAGUAAAUCUGUUGGUUCCGCUCGCUCGACUUGCAUGUAUUAGGCACGCCGCCAGCGUUCGU